rnacentral:ncRNA from 1 species
CAAAAGUUUGGUCCUGACUUUACUAUCAAUUCAGACCUAACUUAUACAUGCAAGUAUCCGCAUCCCUGUGAGAAUGCCCUACAGUUCCCUUCUAGGGAACAAGGAGCUGGUAUCAGGCACAACACUGAAAGCCCACGACACCUUGCUCAUAGCCACACCCCCAAGGGAUCCAGCAGUAAUAAAUAUUAAGCAAUAAGUGAAAGCUUGACUUAGUUAAGGUUAAGAGGGCCGGUAAAACUCGUGCCAGCCACCGCGGUUAUACGAGAGGCCCAAAUUGAUAGACACCGGCGUAAAGGGUGGUUAUAAUUUUACUCAAAUAAAGUCGAAUGCCUCCGAGGCUGUUAUACGCAUCCGAAGGUAAGAAGCUCAACUACGAAAGUGACUUUACAAACUUUGACCCCACGAAAGCUGAGACACAAACUGGGAUUAGAUACCCCACUAUGCCCAGCCAUAAACUAUGAUAAAAACUACUUAAAUUAUCCGCCAGGGGACUACAAGCGCAAGCUUAAAACCCAAAGGACUUGGCGGUGCUUAAGAUCCCCCUAGAGGAGCCUGUUCUAGAACCGAUAAUCCCCGUUCAACCUCACCCUUUCUUGUUUUUCCCGCCUAUAUACCACCGUCGUCAGCUUACCCUGUGAAGGUCAAAUAGUAAGCAGAAUUGGCACACCCUAGAACGUCAGGUCGAGGUGUAGCGAAUGAAAGGGGAAGAAAUGGGCUACAUUCCCUAAUGAAGCGUAUACGAAUAGUACGUUGAAACACGUACUUGAAGGAGGAUUUAGCAGUAAGUACAAAAUAGAGCGUUGUACUGAAGUUGGCCCUAAAGCACGCACACACCGCCCGUCACUCUCCCCGAACCAAAUAAUUAAAUAAUUAAACCACUAGAGGAAUAAAGGGGAGGCAAGUCGUAACAUGGUAAGUGUACCGGAAGGUGUACUUGGAAAAAU